rnacentral:rRNA from 1 species
AAGCAGAUCGAGUGAAAAAUUUUUGGUAGGAAACAAGGUUAGAGAAGAUUUAUAUAAGAGGACAGGAAAAUAAUUUGAAGGUUAAAUUUGUUAAUUAUUUAUAUUUUUAAAGUUUUCUAUUGCUUGAGGCCUUGAAAGCUUAGUUAAAAACCCGGAUUAGAUACCCGAUUAUUCUAAGAUAUAAACUUUAUGAAGAAUUACCCGGGUACUAAAAGUAUAUUACUUGAAACUUAAAAAACUUGGCGGUGCUUUACCUUUCUAGGGGAACCUGUUCCUUAAUCUGAUAGUCCCCGUUAGAACUUUCCUCAUUUUGAAGAUAGUAAUAUAGUUUCUAUGCAGUUAGUAUAUCGUCGUUGUCAGGCAACCCUUAAGGGUUGCGAAGAGGCCAGGAUAAAUAAUUUGUAAAUAUUUAAGAUUUCAGAUCGAGGUGCAGCUAAUAAUGAGGUGGAAAUGGGUUACUUUGAUUUUUAUGAAUUAAAAAUUGUAAAAUUUUUAUGAAACCGGACUUAGAAGUAAUUAAAUAAAUUUAAAAUAUUUUAAUGAAUUAUGCUCUAAAGCGUGCACAAAUCGCCCGUCGCUCU